GCAUCUAAGCGGGAAGCCAGCCUCGAGAUUAAUUCUCCCGGAGCUUUAAGCUCCCUAAAGGGCCGUGGAAGACUACCACGUUGAUAGGCUGGGUGUGGAAGAGUGGCAACACUUGGAGCUGACCAGUACUAAUUGCCCGUGCGGCUUAACCAU
rnacentral:rRNA from 1 species